AACGAACGCUGGCGGCAUGCCUAACACAUGCAAGUCGAACGAGACCUUCGGGUCUAGUGGCGCACGGGUGCGUAACGCGUGGGAAUCUGCCCUUGGGUACGGAAUAACAGUGAGAAAUUACUGCUAAUACCGUAUGAUGACGUAAGUCCAAAGAUUUAUCGCCCAAGGAUGAGCCCGCGUAGGAUUAGCUUGUUGGUGAGGUAAAAGCUCACCAAGGCGACGAUCCUUAGCUGGUCUGAGAGGAUGAUCAGCCACACUGGGACUGAGACACGGCCCAGACUCCUACGGGAGGCAGCAGUGGGGAAUAUUGGACAAUGGGCGAAAGCCUGAUCCAGCAAUGCCGCGUGAGUGAUGAAGGCCUUAGGGUUGUAAAGCUCUUUUACCCGGGAAGAUAAUGAC
rnacentral:rRNA from 1 species